rnacentral:lncRNA from 1 species
GUCUCCAUGUCCACUCAGGCCAGCGGCCCUGCCUGGCAGGACUGGAGGUGGCCCCGCCUAAAGGAUGUGAGGGUCACCGAGCAGGCCAGGGAGACAGGGACACGCGGGACCAACCUUUCAGCGACCCCUUGGCGGUGCGCGUGCCCGCUGCGAGGUGAGGUCCCGUGCACGCGCUUUCUGCUGGUCCGUGUGCGCCUGCGCAGGAUCCACCGGCCUCCUACCCCUCCUGCCGUUGGUCGGACAACAGCGCCCAACCAGAGUGCUCUGCGUCAAACCCUCCAAAAGGGCCAGUGUGGACGCAGGGACGGAGUCUCCACAGAGCAAUCUCCAGGAGCAGGUACCCAGGACUGCCUGGGAAGGCCCAUGACCCCGCCCAGGCCACGGUCCCUGGUCAUCUUAUGUCGGACUCUGGUCCUAGAGCCGGAGCUCACGGAGACUGACUUCCAGGGUGAGAAGCUGGGGUGGGUGUCUGUGGGUGUCUGGGCAGGGGUGGGUGCUGGGCCCCACAGGGAGGAGCCUCAGAAGCUGAGGUGGGGCCAGAAGCCAAGACGGCUCAGAGCACCCAGCUGGGGGAUGGUUGUCAGGGAGAUGCCUUCGGGGGUCCCUUCCUGGCUGUGGCCCCUCUGGGAGGCUCUGGGCUGGGUCUGUCCUUAUAGGGGCUCACAGGGAGUCAGGCAUGUUGGGGGGGGCCUCUCUCCUCCCACAUGGGACUCCAUCUGA